GCUCUGGUGACCUAGUGGUUAGAGCGUCCGCCUCGGAAGCAGGAUGUUGCGGGUUCGAACCUCGGCCAAAUCA